GGUUAAGCGACUAAGCGUACACGGUGGAUGCCCUGGCAGUCAGAGGCGAUGAAGGACGUGCUAAUCUGCGAAAAGCGUCGGUAAGGUGAUAUGAACCGUUAUAACCGGCGAUGUCCGAAUGGGGAAACCCAGUGCAAUUCGUUGCACUAUCGUUAACUGAAUACAUAGGUUAACGAGGCGAACCGGGGGAACUGAAACAUCUAAGUACCCCGAGGAAAAGAAAUCAACCGAGAUUCCCCCAGUAGCGGCGAGCGAACGGGGAGCAGCCCAGAGUCUGAAUCAGCUUGUGUGUUAGUGGAACGGUCUGGAAAGUCCGACGGUACAGGGUGAUAGUCCCGUACACCAAAAUGCACAGGUUGUGAACUCGAAGAGUAGGGCGGGACACGUGGUAUCCUGUCUGAAUAUGGGGGGACCAUCCUCCAAGGCUAAAUACUCCUGACUGACCGAUAGUGAACCAGUACCGUGAGGGAAAGGCGAAAAGAACCCCGGCGAGGGGAGUGAAAAAGAACCUGAAACCGUGUACGUACAAGCAGUGGGAGCACCUUCGGGUGUGACUGCGUACCUUUUGUAUAAUGGGUCAGCGACUUAUAUUCUGUAGCAAGGUUAACCGUAUAGGGGAGCCGCAGGGAAACCGAGUCUUAACUGGGCGUUAAGUUGCAGGGUAUAGACCCGAAACCCGGUGAUCUAGCCAUGGGCAGGUUGAAGGUUGGGUAACACUAACUGGAGGACCGAACCGACUAAUGUUGAAAAAUUAGCGGAUGACUUGUGGCUGGGGGUGAAAGGCCAAUCAAACCGGGAGAUAGCUGGUUCUCCCCGAAAGCUAUUUAGGUAGCGCCUCGUGAACUCAUCUUCGGGGGUAGAGCACUGUUUCGGCUAGGGGGUCAUCCCGACUUACCAACCCGAUGCAAACUACGAAUACCGAAGAAUGUUAUCACGGGAGACACACGGCGGGUGCUAACGUCCGUCGUGAAGAGGGAAACAACCCAGACCGCCAGCUAAGGUCCCAAAGUCAUGGUUAAGUGGGAAACGAUGUGGGAAGGCACAGACAGCCAGGAUGUUGGCUUAGAAGCAGCCAUCAUUUAAAGAAAGCGUAAUAGCUCACUGGUCGAGUCGGCCUGCGCGGAAGAUGUAACGGGGCUAAACCAUGCACCGAAGCUGCGGCAGCGACACUAUGUGUUGUUGGGUAGGGGAGCGUUCUGUAAGCCUGCGAAGGUGACCUGUGAGGGUUGCUGGAGGUAUCAGAAGUGCGAAUGCUGACAUAAGUAACGAUAAAGCGGGUGAAAAGCCCGCUCGCCGGAAGACCAAGGGUUCCUGUCCAACGUUAAUCGGGGCAGGGUGAGUCGACCCCUAAGGCGAGGCCGAAAGGCGUAGUCGAUGGGAAACAGGUUAAUAUUCCUGUACUUGGUGUUACUGCGAAGGGGGGACGGAGAAGGCUAUGUUAGCCGGGCGACGGUUGUCCCGGUUUAAGCAUGUAGGCUGAUUGUCCAGGCAAAUCCGGAUAAUCAAGGCUGAGGUGUGAUGACGAGGCACUACGGUGCUGAAGUAACAAAUGCCCUGCUUCCAGGAAAAGCCUCUAAGCAUCAGGUAACAUUAAAUCGUACCCCAAACCGACACAGGUGGUCAGGUAGAGAAUACCAAGGCGCUUGAGAGAACUCGGGUGAAGGAACUAGGCAAAAUGGUGCCGUAACUUCGGGAGAAGGCACGCUGGUGUGUAGGUGAAGUCCCUGCGGAUGGAGCUGAGACCAGUCGAAGAUACCAGCUGGCUGCAACUGUUUAUUAAAAACACAGCACUGUGCAAACACGAAAGUGGACGUAUACGGUGUGACGCCUGCCCGGUGCCGGAAGGUUAAUUGAUGGGGUUAUCCGUAAGGAGAAGCUCUUGAUCGAAGCCCCGGUAAACGGCGGCCGUAACUAUAACGGUCCUAAGGUAGCGAAAUUCCUUGUCGGGUAAGUUCCGACCUGCACGAAUGGCGUAAUGAUGGCCAGGCUGUCUCCACCCGAGACUCAGUGAAAUUGAACUCGCUGUGAAGAUGCAGUGUACCCGCGGCAAGACGGAAAGACCCCGUGAACCUUUACUAUAGCUUGACACUGAACAUUGAGCCUUGAUGUGUAGGAUAGGUGGGAGGCUUUGAAGCGUGGACGCCAGUCUGCGUGGAGCCAACCUUGAAAUACCACCCUUUAAUGUUUGAUGUUCUAACGUUGGCCCCUGACCGGGGUUGCGGACAGUGUCUGGUGGGUAGUUUGACUGGGGCGGUCUCCUCCCAAAGCGUAACGGAGGAGCACGAAGGUUAGCUAAUCCUGGUCGGACAUCAGGAGGUUAGUGCAAUGGCAUAAGCUAGCUUGACUGCGAGCGUGACGGCGCGAGCAGGUGCGAAAGCAGGUCAUAGUGAUCCGGUGGUUCUGAAUGGAAGGGCCAUCGCUCAACGGAUAAAAGGUACUCCGGGGAUAACAGGCUGAUACCGCCCAAGAGUUCAUAUCGACGGCGGUGUUUGGCACCUCGAUGUCGGCUCAUCACAUCCUGGGGCUGAAGUAGGUCCCAAGGGUAUGGCUGUUCGCCAUUUAAAGUGGUACGCGAGCUGGGUUUAGAACGUCGUGAGACAGUUCGGUCCCUAUCUGCCGUGGGCGCUGGAGAAUUGAGGGGGGCUGCUCCUAGUACGAGAGGACCGGAGUGGACGCAUCACUGGUGUUCGGGUUGUCAUGCCAAUGGCACUGCCCGGUAGCUAAAUGCGGAAGAGAUAAGUGCUGAAAGCAUCUAAGCACGAAACUUGCCCCGAGAUGAGUUCUCCCUGAGACU
rnacentral:rRNA from 1 species